GAUGAACGCUAGCGGCAGGCCUAAUACAUGCAAGUCGAACGAGAUUGUUUUAGCAAUAGAACAUGAAAGUGGCGCACGGGUGCGUAACACGUAUGCAAUCUACCUUUAAUAGGAGAAUAGCUUCGAGAAAUCGGAAUUAAUACUCCAUAACAUAAUUGAGUGGCAUCACUUGGUUAUCAAACCUCCGGGGAUUAAAGAUGAGCAUGCGCAACAUUAGCUAGUUGGUAAGGUAAUGGCUUACCAAGGCUACGAUGUUUAGGGGGUCUGAGAGGAUGAUCCCCCACACUGGUACUGAGACACGGACCAGACUCCUACGGGAGGCAGCAGUAGGGAAUAUUGGGCAAUGGAGGCAACUCUGACCCAGCCAUGCCGCGUGUAGGAAGACGGUCCUAUGGAUUGAAACUGCUUUUAUACAGGAAGAAACAACGCUACGUGUAGCGUCUUGACGUACNGUAGGAAUAAGGAUCGGCUAACUCCGUG
rnacentral:rRNA from 1 species